AAUUGACAAGAGGUACGUUAAUUUUGGCUUCUGCAUCCUAUUUAUACUGAUAGUUCAUUGAACUUUCACCAAAAGAUGGAUAUUACUUUCUGAUGACAAAAUAAGAACAUUUCCAAAGUGGGUUAUUUUCCAGUAUGUAAUCUUGAAAGUUAUCAGGAGGCAUCGCAUUAUGUAUUAUGUCAUUGUAAUGUUUAAGCAUACAUAAUACAAAAGACAAGAAUUAACAGGUUUACCUUGAAAUUCCUCCAUCACCUCAAUUUCAACCACUGUCAUUGGGAUUCUGAAUAUGUAAAAAUAAUCCAGGCUGAGCAAUGGCUAUCUAAUAAUUCCAUGCAUAUUUGUUGUAAAGUGAAAGUAACAUUGCAGUUGAGGAUUAUAAUCCCUUAUGUUUACUGUACUAUGGCACCAGUUGGCUGUGAAUGGACAUUAAUAGCACAGCUAAGGUAUGUUUUACCCAUGAAUGAAUAUUAAUGAGACUUGGCUACGUUAUACUGGAAGAUUAAAGUCCUCCUCCUCUCAUGUAUCUGGGGAACUUAAGCAUAUUACAUGUCUUUAUCAACCUGACAGCAGGAACAGCCUCUUUCUCAGGUUUCUAUGUUGAGUUAUGACCUCAUCAUCUCGUUUGUACAAAAGGGAAAAAUUAAAUUAGUUAGAGUAAUGAACCCAGGUGCUUUUCAUGCGAAUUUUUUCCACUCAUUGUUCCCCAAGUUGUUUAAGGGAGUAAUCUGCCGAACAUACUGUCGAAUCACUUAAAUCCAGGCCAUCAGAGCAAGCUGCCAGGGGUCUGGUCUUUUAAAUGCGCCUCCUCAUGGGGGUCCUAGAUCAAAGAUGAAAGUAUGCUGAACGGUGUGGGAGAUGGGUAAAGGGGAGGCAUGAAGGGAGUAGGGAGUGCAAUACAUCAAAUUAACAAAUUUGCUUUCCCUUUCCCAGUAGGCAACGGAGUAAAUUCUCUGGCACUUAAAUUGGUAUUGGAAUGACAAGAAAGGAGAGCAGGAGGAGUCAAAUGGCAGAAAGAGGUUCUCGGUUGCAGCAGCUGGUAAAGACAACGCUCUCACUGUGCGAUGAGAGACAUAAAUUUAAUGUCAGUAUCGCAAGGCAACACCUGGUUAUGCCUAUGCCUGUCAUUGUUGGCAUCAUAGCUCAUUUUGUCAAUGAAUUACCAUCCUCUUGGGCUAAGGCAGAAAGGAAAAUGUGGAUUCUUUCAUCCCAGAACGAUAAUCCCUAGUGGCUCUAAUGUGGUACUACAUAUCCAUUUUGAAAAUUAAAUAUACCGUUGUUUGGUUCAGCAAGGCAGACACCUGCCUCCUCUAGUAAAAAUGUCAUACUCCAGAGCUGAGAGAUUUCCCUGAGGAACAACAUCACAGUAUUGCCUUGUAACUAUAACUUAAUAUCAUGUCAAAAUCUCCCGGGGAUGAUGGUAAAGCCACAGAAAAAGGGGAAAACAAGAGUAAGUCGUAUGCUUGGAGAAACAGAUGGAGGCCAUGAGCAGGGGGAAGAAAUGGAGAGAGGCAACAGAAGGGAGUGCUGAGGAAGGAAAGGGAAACUCGACACACAAAGUGAAACGAAACACGUUCCACCCCCAGAUAAUAAAAGCAACAUGGGAACAAUAAAGGCCUAUCAGGCCAUUUGAAAAGACAAUGUGAAACAACAUGGGAAUGCCUUUUAGUAUUAAAUUUUCAUGUCAGCUCAA